CAGCAGCCGCGGUAAUACGCAGGUGGCAAGCGUUGUCCGGAAUUAUUGGGCGUAAAGGGCUCGCAGGCGGUUUCUUAAGUCUGAUGUGAAAGCCCCCGGCUCAACCGGGGAGGGUCAUUGGAAACUGGGAAACUUGAGUGCAGAAGAGGAGAGUGGAAUUCCACGUGUAGCGGUGAAAUGCGUAGAGAUGUGGAGGAACACCAGUGGCGAAGGCGACUCUCUGGUCUGUAACUGACGCUGAGGAGCGAAAGCGUGGGGAGCGAACAGGAUUAGAUACCCGCGUAGUCCCUGUCUCUUAUAC
rnacentral:rRNA from 1 species